UAGGAACCAGGAUUAGAUACCCUGCUACUCGUAAAUAAGAAUAUUUUGGAAUAUUAAUAAUUAUGAAAUUUAACGGAUUUGGCGGCAAGAUAAACCAUUUAGAGGAACCUGCCCUGUAAACGAUGAGCCACGAGAUACUUAACUUUUGUUAGUAAACAGUUUGUAUACCGCUGUUGUUAGUCAGUUUCUUUAGAAAACUUACGGUAAUGGAAUAAGCCAUUGACUUCAAGUAAAGGUGCAGCUUAUGCAAGAGAGAGAGGUGGGUUACAAUUAAUUAGAACAAUAAUACGGAUAAGAUUAUGAAAAAUUUUUUGAAGGUGGAUUUAAUUGUAAAAUUUAGGAAAGUUUGAUAUGAGCACUAUCUUGUGUACACACCGCCCGUCGCUCUCUUUUUACAA
rnacentral:rRNA from 1 species